GACGAACGCUGGCGGCGUGCUUAACACAUGCAAGUCGAACGGAAAGGCCCUGCUUUUGUGGGGUGCUUGAGUGGCGAACGGGUGAGUAUCACGUGAGUAACCUGCCCUUGACUUUGGGAUAACUUCAGGAAACUGGGGCUAAUACCGGAUAGGAGCUCCUGCUGCAUGGUGGGGGUUGGAAAGUUUCGGCGGUUGGGGAUGGACUCGCGGCUUACCAGCUUGUUGGUGGGGUAGUGGCUUACCAAGGCUUUGACGGGUAGCCGGCCUGAGAGGGUGACCGGCCACAAUGGGACUAAGAGACGGCCCAGACUCCUACGGGAGGCAGCAGUGGGAAGUAUUGCACAGUGGGCGGAAGCCUGAUGCAGCAACGCCGCGUGCGGGAAGACGGCCUUCGGGUUGUGAACCGCUGUCGCCUGAGACGAAGCGUGAGUGACGGUAAUGAGUAAAGAAGCACCGGCUAACUACGUG
rnacentral:rRNA from 1 species